rnacentral:rRNA from 1 species
UACGGGGGGGUGCGAGCGUUGUCCGGAUUCACUGGGCGUAAAGGGCGCGUAGGCGGCCGGGUCAGUCGGGCCUGUAAGUGCGGGGCUCAACCCCCGUGAUGGGCUCGGGACGGCACGGCUGGGGCGCGGCAGAGGGAGAGCGGAAUGCCGGGUGUAGUGGUGAAAUGCGUAGAGAUCCGGCGGAACACCGGUGGUGAAGACGGUCUCCUGGGCCGAGGGCCG